UACGGAGGGGGCUAGCGUUGUUCGGAAUUACUGGGCGUAAAGCGUACGUAGGCGGCUUUGUAAGUUAGAGGUGAAAGCCCAGAGCUCAACUCUGGAAUUGCCUUUAAGACUGCAUCGCUUGAAUCGUGGAGAGGUUAGUGGAAUUCCGAGUGUAGAGGUGAAAUUCGUAGAUAUUCGGAAGAACACCAGUUGCGAAGGCGGCUGACUGGACACAUAUUGACGCUGAGGCACGAAAGCGUGGGGAGCAAACAGG
rnacentral:rRNA from 1 species